rnacentral:rRNA from 1 species
UGAGGAAUAUUGGUCAAUGGUCGAGAGACUGAACCAGCCAAGUCGCGUGAAGGAUGACUGCCCUAUGGGUUGUAAACUUCUUUUACAAGGGAAUAAAAUGAGAUACGUGUAUUUUAUUGCAUGUACCUUGUGAAUAAGCAUCGGCUAACUCCGUGCCAGCAGCCGCGGUAAUACGGAGGAUGCGAGCGUUAUCCGGAUUUAUUGGGUUUAAAGGGUGCGUAGGUGGGCUGUUAAGUCAGCGGUGAAAGUUUGUCGCUUAACGAUAAAAUUGCCGUUGAAACUGGUAGUCUUGAGUAUAGAUGAAGUAGGCGGAAUGCGUGGUGUAGCGGUGAAAUGCAUAGAGAUCACGCAGAACUCCGAUUGCGAAGGCAGCUUACUAAGGUAUAACUGACACUGAAGCACGAAAGCGUGGGCAUCAAACAGG